rnacentral:rRNA from 1 species
AUGUGGAUGAUGAUCUGGGGAGCACCGUCUAGCGAAAAGGAAAAAGGAGAACUACAAUCUUGGCUAGGUUCAUCCUCUUUGACACAGUUGUGGCUCCACCUUUGGAUGUUGUUGGAUUCUUUUCUGAAGUUCGAACAAGUUUUGAAGGAUUCAUGGAUGGUUCUGAAAAUGAAAUUUCUCUUAACCAUGGUAGCCAAAACUGGAGGGAUUCUUGCCUAUUUCAUUCAUCCAUCCAUCCAUCAAAACUUACGUGAUUUAUUUGCGCGAACACAUGAUUUACAUUUCAUGAAGGCAACCUAUGUGUGCCUUGUUGAAAUAUCUAAGCUUGGUUUCCACAUGGCCAGUUUUAGCAAGGCCAGGCCAUGGCAGUAG